AACGAACGCUGGCGGCAGGCCUAACACAUGCAAGUCGAACGCCCUAGCAAUAGGGAGUGGCAGACGGGUGAGUAACACGUGGGAACCUUCCCUAUAGUACGGAAUAGCCCAGGGAAACUUGGAGUAAUACCGUAUAAGCCCGAGAGGGGAAAGAUUUAUCGCUAUAGGAUGGGCCCGCGUCGGAUUAGCUAGUUGGUGAGGUAAUGGCUCACCAAGGCGACGAUCCGUAGCUGGUUUGAGAGAACGACCAGCCACACUGGGACUGAGACACGGCCCAGACUCCUACGGGAGGCAGCAGUGGGGAAUAUUGGACAAUGGGCGAAAGCCUGAUCCAGCCAUGCCGCGUGAGUGAUGAAGGCCUUAGGGUUGUAAAGCUCUUUUGUCGGGGACGAUAAUGACGGUACCCGAAGAAUAAGCUCCGGCUAACUUCGUGCCAGCAGCCGCGGUAACAC
rnacentral:rRNA from 1 species